AAAAUAUAGAUAGUUAUAUCUAUAUAUGAAUAUAUAUGGUAUAUAUAAGAGUUCAAAUCUCUUAAUAUUCAU